GCCCUUGAGACUCUCUCAGGUCUGCAAAUAAAAGAAGAUGCGCCAACCAUCUGAAAGUUUUUAAUUUUGGAACCCUCACCGGAGCGAUCUCGCCAUGCCUUUUCUCAGGAUGUAUGGCAAAGUGGCAUUGGAUGUCAUCGCAAAGGCAAUACGUGUGGCAAAGGAUAGGGAAGUCCCUCAUCCUUCCUUCUACCGCGGACCUUCGUGAUUUUAUUCCAAACUCUCGAAAUUCCAUUGCCAAUUUCCUUUUCUUCUGGUUGCAACGUAAGCGACCUCUGUUUGGAGUCUGUUUUGAUUUUUGCUGGAAAGGGGCUCUCUUAUACAUAAGAGUUGGAUAAAGAGGACAUUGGCUGCAGAAUCUUCCAGUCCCUCACUCUCUUGUAUCACGAGAGAAGCAUCGACCUGCUAGAGCCUUACGCAGAAGAAGAAGAAGAAGACGAGGAGGAGGAUUUCCGCCAUGGGAAGAGCUCCAUGUUGCGAUAAGGAGAAGGUGAAGAAAGGACAAUGGUCACCAGAGGAAGAUGCCAAACUCAAGUCUUACAUAGAGUAGAACAGAACUGGUGGAAAUUGGAUUGCUCUUCCACAGAAAGUUGGUAUAAUUAUGAAAGUUGGAGGUCUUUGAUUGUCGCCCAGUUGCCGGGAAGAACAGACAACGAUAUAAAGAACUACUGCAAUUCUUGCUCCAAUGGUGUGAGCUUGUGGUUUACAGAAAUUAGUUUUAGCAGUUUGAGUUGUUUGUAAAACAUAAGAAGAAUUAAAU